UACGUAGGGUGCAAGCGUUGUCCGGAAUUACUGGGCGUAAAGCGUGUUCAGGCGGUCUAGCAAGUCGGGCAUGAAAUCUCUCGGCUCAACCGGGAGGGGUUGUCCGAUACUGCUGGGCUUGAGGGCAGCAGAGGGUGGUGGAAUUCCGGGUGUAGUGGUGAAAUGCGUAGAUAUCCGGAGGAACACCAGUGGCGAAGGCGGCCACCUGGGCUGUACCUGACGCUCCAACACGAAAGCUAGGGGAGCGAACGGG
rnacentral:rRNA from 1 species